ACGAACGCUGGCGGCGCGCCUAACACAUGCAAGUCGAACGGAGAUUACAGGCGGAAGUUUUCGGAUGGAAGCUUGUAAACUUAGUGGCGGACGGGUGAGUAACACGUGAGCAACCUGCCUAUCAGAGGGGGAUAACGAUUGGAAACGAUCGCUAAUACCGCAUGACAUAGCGAAACCGCAUGGUUUUGCUAUCAAAGAUUUUAUCGCUGAUAGAUGGGCUCGCGUCCGAUUAGAUAGUUGGUGGGGUAACGGCCUACCAAGUCGACGAUCGGUAGCCGGACUGAGAGGUCGAACGGCCACAUUGGGACUGAGACACGGCCCAGACUCCUACGGGAGGCAGCAGUGGGGGAUAUUGCACAAUGGGGGAAACCCUGAUGCAGCGACGCCGCGUGAGGGAAGACGGUCCUCUGGAUUGUAAACCUCUGUCUUCGGGGACGAAACGAGACGGUACCCGAGGAGGAAGCCACGGCUAACUACGUGCCAGCAGCCGCGGUAAUACGUAGGUGGCAAGCGUUGUCCGGAAUUACUGGGUGUAAAGGGAGCGUAGGCGGGCAGGCAAGUCAGGCGUGAAAUAUACCGGCUCAACCGGUAACGGCGCUUGAAACUGCAGGUCUUGAGUGAAGUAGAGGUUGGCGGAAUUCCUAGUGUAGCGGUGAAAUGCGUAGAUAUUAGGAGGAACACCAGUGGCGAAGGCGGCCAACUGGGCUUUUACUGACGCUGAGGCUCGAAAGUGUGGGGAGCAAACAGGAUUAGAUACCCUGGUAGUCCACACCGUAAACGAUGAUUACUAGGUGUGGGGGGACUGACCCCUUCCGUGCCGGAGUUAACACAAUAAGUAAUCCACCUGGGGAGUACGGCCGCAAGGUUGCAACUCAAAGGAAUUGACGG
rnacentral:rRNA from 1 species